UACAGAGGAUGCAAGCGUUAUCCGGAAUGAUUGGGCGUAAAGCGUCUGUAGGUGGCUUUUUAAGUCCGCCGUCAAAUCCCAGGGCUCAACUCUGGACAGGCGGUGGAAACUACCAAGCUGGAGUACGGUAGGGGCAGAGGGAAUUUCCGGUGGAGCGGUGAAAUGCGUAGAGAUCAGGAGGAAUACCGAUGGCGAAGGCAGGUCUCUGGGCUGAUACUGACGCUCAUGCACGAAAGCGUGGGGAGCAAACAGG
rnacentral:rRNA from 1 species